GACGACGCUGGCGGCGUGCCUAAUACAUGCAAGUAGGCCGAGUUGCGAACGGGUGAGUAACGCGUGGUAACCUGCCUAUUAGAGGGGGCUAACUAUUGGAAACGAUAGCUAAUACCGCAUACCAUCGGAUGUGCCCAGAUGGGAUUUGCUAGUAGGUGGGGUAAAGGCUCACGUAGGCGACGAUCCCUAGCUGGUCUUGACGGAGUACCAGCAACACUGGAACUUAGACACGGUCCAGACCCCUACGUGAGGCAGCAGUGUGGAAUAUUGCACAAUGGGAGCAAGCCUGAUGCAGCCAUGCCGCGUGUAUGAAGAAGGCCUUCGGGUUGUAAAGUACUUUCAGCGGGGAGGCGUUACCCGCAGAAGAAGCACCGGCUAACUCCGUGCCAGCAGCCGCGGUAAUUC
rnacentral:rRNA from 1 species